rnacentral:lncRNA from 1 species
UCGGUGAUAGGCUUGGCUAUUCUAGAGAAAUCUAGAAUAAAGCGACGAUAAUAGCCUGCCAUUCCAAGAGAACUUCUGACUUGAUGUACAAUAGUGGGAGGUUUCCAAUCGAGGAUAUCCUUGACCUUGCUCGGGUCAACAACAACACCCUCGGCAGACAAGACAUGGCCUAGAAACUGAACUUUAUUCAACCAAAACUCACAUUUGCUAAAUUUAGCAUAUAGUUGGUGUUCUCUGAGCCAUGUUAGAACAAUACGUAAGUGGUAUGCAUGUUCUUCCUUGCUCUUGGAGUAUAUCAGGAUAUCAUCAAUAAACACAACCACAAACUUGUUGAGCUUCGGCAUGAACACAGAGUUCAUUAAAUACAUGAAGUGAGCUGGAGCAUUAGUCAGACCAAAGGACAUAACCAAAUAUUCGUAAAGACCAUAUCGAGUAGUGAAAGCGGUCUUGGGAACAUCUUCAGGACGGAUUCUUAUCUGGUGAUAACCUCACCUAAGGUCAAUCUUGG